UACGGGGGGGGCAAGCGUUGUUCGGAAUUACUGGGCGUAAAGGGCUCGUAGGCGGCCAGCUAAGUCAGACGUGAAAUCCCUCGGCUUAACCGGGGAACUGCAUCUGAUACUGGAUGGCUUGAGUUCGGGAGAGGGAUGCGGAAUUCCAGGUGUAGCGGUGAAAUGCGUAGAUAUCUGGAGGAACACCGGUGGCGAAGGCGGCAUCCUGGACCGGUAUUGACGCUGAGGCGCGAAAGCCAGGGGAGCAAACGGG
rnacentral:rRNA from 1 species